AUGCUGCUGGACUUAGGUUAUAAGGGCAACUUUUGGACAUUUGAAAAGAAGGUGGUGGGGAGGGGGGGUACUUGUACACGAUGUCGACUGGAUAGAGCAAAGGCGAAUGCUGACUGGGUAGCGAGGUUCCCUUUGGCCUCAGUAUCACAUAUUACGUGCGCCACAUCGGACCACUCCCCAAUCUUGCUUGAUUAUGGAAGCAAAACAACUGAAAGAAGAGAGAGACUUUUUAAGUAUGAGCUAAUGUGGGAGACACAUGAGGGGCUCAAAACGUUCUUGACAGAGGGAUGGGCAUCGGAACCACCAUGCAAUAGCGUGGAACAGAUGCGUGAGAAGCUGCGGAACCUUGCAGGCGGGCUGACCAGAUGGAGCAAGGACACCUUCGGAAGUGUCAGAAAGGAGAUUAAAAAGCUUAAGCAAAUUCUGGAGGAGCUCAGGGGCGACCCACUGAGAACUGGGCCUUCUCACGUUGAAUUAAAGAUCAACGAGCAGCUGAUCGAGAUGUAUCACAGAGAGGAGAUCAUGUGGCGACAGCGGGCAAGAGUCGAAUGGCUUUUGGCGGGAGACAAAAAUACCAAAUUCUUUCAUCUUCGUGCUAGCCUCCGUAGAAAGAAAAAUAUGGUGAAAGCCUUACAAAAUUCUUUGGGUGCUGUCAUCUCUGAUCCGGCUGAACUCCAGGACAUGGCAAACAUGUUCUAUCAAAAUCUGUAUACCACGGAGGGGGUUAAUAAUAUGGAAGAAGUGCUGGAGCAUGUCCCGCAGAAGGUGACCGAGGAGAUGAACGCAUCCCUUUGUGCUCCGUACACAAAUGAAGAGGUAAAAAAUGCUUUGUUUCAAAUGUUUCCUACCAAGGCGCCGGGCCCGGAUGGUUUUCCUGCACGUUUUUAUCAGCGACAUUGGGACGUAUGUGGGGACGAGGUCACCAAGAUCGUCCUAAGCAUAGUCCGUGGGGAAGAAAGCCCGGAAUGCAUCAAUGACACAGUUUUGGUUCUUAUACCAAAGGUAACGAAUCCCACUGUUUUAUCUUAG
rnacentral:rRNA from 1 species